GAUGAACGCUGGCGGCGUGCCUAAUACAUGCAAGUCGAGCGAACAGACGCGGAGCUUGCUACUCUGACGUUAGCGGCGGACGGAUGAGUAACACGUGGAUCACCUACCUAUAAGACUGGGAUAACUUCGGGAAACCGGUGCUAAUACCGAAUCAUUGAUUCAACCGCAUGGUUGAAUAGUGAAAGCCGGUUUUGAUGUCCCUUCUAGAUAUAUCCGCGCCGCAUUAGCUAGUUGGUAAGGUAACGGCUUACCAAGGCAACCGUGCGUAGCCGACCUGCGAGCGUGUACGGCCACACAGGAACUGAGACGCGGUCCAGACUCCGACGGGAGGCAGAAGUAGGGAAGCUUCCGCAAUGUGCGAAAGCCUGACGGAGCAACGCCGCGUGAGUGAUGAAGGUCUUCGGAUCGUAAGACUCUGUUAGUAGGGAAGAACGAAUGUGUAAGUAACUAUGCACGUCGUGACGGUACCUAAUCAGAAAGCAACGGCUAACUACGUG
rnacentral:rRNA from 1 species